rnacentral:lncRNA from 1 species
CACCUGCCGGGCAUGCCGGAACCACCUCUCAGAGGUGCCAGAACCACAUGCCGGACACUCCGGAAUCACCUGCCGGGCAUGCUGGAGCCACGUGCUGGACAUGCCGGAACCACCUGCCGGACAUGCCGGCACCACCUGCCGGACAUUCCGGAACCACCGGCUCGACUGGCCGGAACCAUUGCCGGACAUGCAAAAUCACCUGCCGGCUACGCCAGAACCACUUGGCGAACACUCCGGAAUCACCUGACGGGCAUGCCAGAACCACCUCUCAGACUUGCCAGAACCAUGUUCCGGACACGCCGGUACCACCUUCCGAGUAUGCCGGAACCAAAUGAUAUACUCCCCAAAACCACCUGCUGGACACGCCAGAAUCACCUGCCGGCUACGCCAGAACCACUCGGCAGACACUCCGGAACCACCUGCCGGGCAUUCCGGAACCACCUCUCAGAGGUGCCAGAACCACAUGCUGGACACUCCGGAAUCACCUGUCGGGCAUGCCAGAACCAUCUCUCAGACGUGCCAGAACCAUGUUCCGGACACGCCGGUACCACCUGCCGAGCUCGCCGGAACCACCUGCUGGACACGCCAAAAUCACCUGCCUGCUACGCCAGAACCACUCGGCAGACACUCCGGAAUCACCUGCGGGGCUGGCUGGAAACACCUGCCGGUCACGCCAACAUCACCUUUCAGCUACGCCAGAACCUCUUGGCGGACACUCCGGAAACACCUGUCGGGCCGGCCGGAACCACCUCUCAGACGUGCCAGAACCAUGUGCCUGAGAUGCCGGAACCACUCCCCGAACAGACCGAAACCACCUGCCAGACCCGCCUGUACCCCCUGGCGAGCACGCCUGAUCCACCUGCUCAACUAGCCGGAACCAACUUCCUGACACGCCAAAAUCACCUGCCAGGUAUACCAGAACCACUUGGUGGACACUCCGGAAUCAUCUGCCGGACAUGCCAGAACCAGCUCUCAGACACACCAGAACCACGUGCCAGAGACGCCGGAAGCACCAGCUGAGCAUGCCUGAGCCACCUGCUCGACUCGCAAGAAACACCUCUCGGACAUGCCAAAAUCACCUGCCGGGUACGCCAGAAACACUUGGCGGACGCUCCGGAAUCACCUGUAGGGCGUGCCGGAACCACCUCUCAGACUUGCCAGAACCAUGUUCUGGACACGCCGGUACCACCUGCCGAGUAUGCCGGAACCAGCUGAUCCACUCCCCAGAAACACCUAGU